UUCAGGACAACAGCAGAUUCCUUAGCUGGAGGCAUUUGCCCUGGUAUUCUGGUUAAUUCUGUCCACUGCCUUCACUGCCCUCCCAUCUCCUUCCAGUCUGAAGCCCUGAGUGGCUGCAGAGACUUCAGGAGCCCUCUCUAGAGGGCAGAGUUUCAUUCUGUUUCCCAUGCCGGGCCAUAAAGGGAAGAUGAUCCUCUUUAUGGGAGUCAGCCUUCUGCUGUUCUACAAGGGCGUGCAGUGCAUCAGUGUGACUCAGAGUGUCCCAGAACUGACGGAGGCAAGUGGCAGGGAGGUAACACUGCCAUGUAACUAUGAAGUUGACUUCUCAAACCCAGAUUUGUACUGGUACCGAUGGAGGCCUGACCAUUCCUUUCAGUUUGUCCUCUACAGGGAUAAUGACAGAGCUCAAAAUGCAGCUUUUACUAAAGGUCGAUUUUCUGUAGCACAUAAUCAGGAUCAAAAAACCUUCCACUUGGUGAUCUCCCACGUGAGGCCUGAAGACACUGCUGUGUAUUUCUGUGCAGUAGCACAGUGGUGCAAAUGCUGAGAAAGUCUGUGCACAAACCACAGGGCUCAACUGAGCUGAGCUACUUACCACAGGGGGCCACCCAGGCCUGGAACGACCACCUGGAGACUUGACUUUCUCCGCAUGUCUGACUACGUGGACCUUGGCCACUUGAAUAAGUCAUUAUGAUCAUGUGAGAGCUGCUCUGUGUGCCUAGGGCCUGGGCCAUAUCUGCUGCUAAUGGGACUUGCUUAGCCAUGUUUGCUGUGACGAUGUUAAACUGGUACAGGUCAAUCUAAGAAGAGACCA